UCUACAGAUUUAUAGAUUCUUCUCUUCAAUUACAACAAAAAUACUAUUGAUCUUAUCAAUAGUAUUAGUAUUUAAUUUUAUCAUUUUUAUUAAAAUUUUAUUAUUUUAAUAAAUAUAUUAAAAUAUAAUCCUCAAGAUUUGUCAUCCACAUACACUCUUUUGAAGCCAUCCAGUACAAUAACAUAAAAACAUUCUAAUCCGUCAAAUAGAUUAGGCUACUAUCACUACCAAUAGUAGCAGCAUCUUUGCCAAGCGAAGUAGUGAUACACCAGUAUAUGGGAUUGAUCAUGAAGACACCUCUGGCGCCCAUAUUCUCUGAAUUUUUUUAUGAGAGG
rnacentral:lncRNA from 1 species